UACGGAGGGGGCUAGCGUUGUUCGGAAUUACUGGGCGUAAAGCGCGCGUAGGCGGCUUUGUAAGUUAGAGGUGAAAGCCCGGAGCUCAACUCCGGAACUGCCUUUAAGACUGCAUCGCUAGAACGAUGGAGAGGUGAGUGGAAUUUCCAGUGUAGAGGUGAAAUUCGUAGAUAUUCGGAAGAACACCAGUGGCGAAGGCGACUUACUGGACACAUAUUGACGCUGAGGUGCGAAAGCGUGGGGAGCAAACAGG
rnacentral:rRNA from 1 species